rnacentral:rRNA from 1 species
UACGGAGGGGGCUAGCGUUGUUCGGAUUUACUGGGCGUAAAGGGCGCGUAGGCGGAUGUUCGCGUCAGAGGUGAAAGCCCCGGGCUCAACCUGGGAACUGCCUUUGAAACGGGACAUCUUGAGUUCGGGAGAGGGUAGCGGAAUUCCCAGUGUAGAGGUGAAAUUCGUAGAUAUUGGGAAGAACACCGGUGGCGAAGGCGGCUACCCGGCCCGAUACUGACGCUGAGGCGCGAAAGCGUGGGGAGCAAACAGGAUUAGAUACCCUGGUAGUCCCUGAGCGGGCUGGCAA